UUUGUUUUAAGGCUUCAUUUUCU
rnacentral:miRNA from 1 species